UGGGGAUGUGGGAAAUGGCUUCUUUGACGGAGAAGGCCUCUUGGCCAUGUGGUCUUGGAGUGUACCAGGUAGACCUGGGAGUGGGGGCAUCAUUACAGGCAGAGGGACAACACAUGCAAAUGCCCUGAGGUGGGCACAUCCUUAAUGUGCUUACAGAUUAGCAAGUUGGCUGGAGAGCAGGAGUGAGAGAGCGGGAGCCAAGGCAGGGAUCUGGUUGGGGGCUAGGCACAUAGUGUCUUAACUCGGUUAGUGCCUACUCCUCUGGAAAACCACCGAGUGAUUGGAAUGGUUGGUGGUUUAGGUAAGCUGGGGAUGGAGGAAUUUCAGGUCCACAGAGCCUUUGAAAGUGCUCAUAAUUCACAGCCAGCUCCGAAAACCGCUCUGUCUUUCCUCCCAGAUGCCAAUCCUGAGAGCAGGAGCGCUAUAUGUUUUGAUUCCCUGCUGUCCCAGCCACUGUGACAUGUGUCUGACUCAUAGUAGGCACUUUGGAUUUGGAUUGAAUUAGGUGGGACUCUAGCAGACACAGCAGAUCCCCGGCAUUCACUAAGUUGAAAAAAGCCGUUUCAGCUGUUUGUGAGCAACCUGAAAUCAAUGGUAUGCAGUCAAUAUUUUGGAAUUUUGCUGAGGCCCAUGUUUGAAGAAUGCAGAGGCUGUGAAGUUAGCGUGAAGGAAGGAGACCCCUAUCUCCUGGGGAGCCUACAGCAGGAAUUCUCAGGAAAAACAGCUGAGUUCAAGGUGACAGACCUGCAGUCUUCCCUGCUAAAGUCCUUGAAAAUGACAAAGGAAAAGGACUGUAGCUUCUUGUCACUCAAAGCAUGAUCCAGAUCCCACAGCACGGACGUCACCUUUGAACUUGGUAGAAAUGCAGAAGCUCAGACUCCUGUCCAGACGUAUGACUCAGAACCUGCAUUUUUAACUAGAUCCCAGGUAAGUCAUGGGCAAGUUUAAGGUUGAGAAGCUCUGCUCUAGCACACUGAUUCUUAACCCCUUGGAAUCACUUUUGAAAUAUACUGAUGCCUAGACCCCUGCCCCCUGCCCCCCCAAUUCCGUUUUAAUUGGCUGGAGUACGUUUAAAGCUCCCGAGGUGACACGAUGUGCAGUCAAGGUUGAGAACCAGCCAUCCAGCGUUUGGUCCCUGGGGAGUUAGGCUG
rnacentral:lncRNA from 1 species